CAGUGCAGCAAGGUACACAGUGAGAGGGUUCUUGCAUGUCUGUUUGUGCGUGCUAUUCUAGUGUGACUGAGUGGUUAUCUCUCAUGAGGUGAAUUGAAGGAAGCAACACUGUGACCACUUGAAGGAAGCAACACCGUGACCACGUAGGUGUCUAGAGCUCUCACCACACACUUGUUCAUGGGCGCAGCAAAGAAGAGGGAUCCACAGAGCUGGAGCCGUGAGGGCUGACACAUUGGAAUGAAAGCUGGCAGAAUUCGUAGGGAGAGCUUUCCCAUCCUGCCAGCCCCAUGUCUGGCUUUAAGACAGUUCUAUUAGUGAAUUAACUGUUCUCAAAACCCCAAAUUAAUUUGAACCGAAUGUUACUAAAAAUGAAAUAGAAUAAAGUGACCUACUCUUGCCUCAUCUGGAGUUAUUACGAAGGAGCUCCGCAGCCUGACUGAGCUCUGGAGAGCAGGGCUCUGUGCACACGCCUCCUGGUCCAGAGGCCUCCGUGACCAUCCAUGAUGCCACUCUGUCCCCUCAGCAAGCUGCCUUUUUCUUCCUAGCACCUGCCCCAGCGGUGGUAUGUUUUCCAGUCAGUUACCACCUGUCUCAUCAGAAUGGAAGCUCCAUGAGAGCAGGGCCUUUGUCUUGUCCCCGUGUAUCUCCAGUGCAUAGGACAGUGCUGACACAGUGCAGAGUCUAAAUAAACGCUGUUGAAC
rnacentral:lncRNA from 1 species